rnacentral:rRNA from 1 species
CCUACGGGAGGCAGCAGUGAGGAAUAUUGGUCAAUGGGCGAGAUCCUGAACCAGCCAAGCCGCGUGAAGGACGAAGGUGCUAUGGAUUGUAAACUUCUUUUGUCAGGGGACAAAAUCAGGCACGUGAGCCUGACUGCGGGUACCCGAAGAAAAAGCAUCGGCUAACUCCGUGCCAGCAGCCGCGGUAAUACGGAGGAUGCGAGCGUUAUCCGGAUUUAUUGGGUUUAAAGGGUGCGUAGGCGGGCUGUUAAGUCAGCGGUAAAAGCCCGGGGCUCAACCCCGGCGAGCCGUUGAAACUGGCUGACUUGAGAUGUCGAGAGGUAUGCGGAAUGCGCAGUGUAGCGGUGAAAUGCUUAGAUAUUGCGCAGAACUCCGAUUGCGAAGGCAGCAUACCGGCGGCGAUCUGACGCUGAGGCACGAAAGCGUGGGUAUCGAACAGGAUUAGAUACCCUUGUAGUC